GAAUUCGCCCUUAGAGUUUGAUCCUGGCUCAGGACGAACGCUGGCGGCGCGCCUAACACAUGCAAGUCGAACGAGCGAGAGAGAGCUUGCUUUCUCGAGCGAGUGGCGAACGGGUGAGUAACGCGUGAGGAACCUGCCUCAAAGAGGGGGGACAACAGUUGGAAACGACUGCUAAUACCGCAUAUGCCCACGGUGUCGCAUGGCACAGAGGGAAAAGGAGCAAUCCGCUUUGAGAUGGCCUCGCGUCCGAUUAGCUAGUUGGUGAGGUAAUGGCCCACCAAGGCGACGAUCGGUAGCCGGACUGAGAGGUUGAACGGCCACAUUGGGACUGAGACACGGCCCAGACUCCUACGGGAGGCAGCAGUGGGGAAUAUUGCACAAUGGGGGAAACCCUGAUGCAGCGACGCCGCGUGGAGGAAGAAGGUCUUCGGAUUGUAAACUCCUGUUGUUGGGGAAGAUAAUGACGGUACCCAACAAGGAAGUGACGGCUAACUACGUGCCAGCAGCCGCGGUAAAACGUAGGUCACAAGCGUUGUCCGGAAUUACUGGGUGUAAAGGGAGCGCAGGCGGGAAGACAAGUUGGAAGUGAAAUCUAUGGGCUCAACCCAUAAACUGCUUUCAAAACUGUUUUUCUUGAGUAGUGCAGAGGUAGGCGGAAUUCCCGGUGUAGCGGUGGAAUGCGUAGAUAUCGGGAGGAACACCAGUGGCGAAGGCGGCCUACUGGGCACCAACUGACGCUGAGGCUCGAAAGUGUGGGUAGCAAACAGGAUUAGAUACCCUGGUAGUCCACACCGUAAACGAUGAUUA
rnacentral:rRNA from 1 species